rnacentral:rRNA from 1 species
UAGGGAAUCUUCGGCAAUGGACGGAAGUCUGACCGAGCAACGCCGCGUGAGUGAAGAAGGUUUUCGGAUCGUAAAGCUCUGUUGUAAGAGAAGAACGAGUGUGAGAGUGGAAAGUUCACGCUGUGACGGUAUCUUACCAGAAAGGGACGGCUAACUACGUGCCAGCAGCCGCGGUAAUACGUAGGUCCCGAGCGUUGUCCGGAUUUAUUGGGCGUAAAGCGAGCGCAGGCGGUUAGAUAAGUCUGAAGUUAAAGGCUGUGGCUUAACCAUAGUAGGCUUUGGAAACUGUUUAACUUGAGUGCAAGAGGGGAGAGUGGAAUUCCAUGUGUAGCGGUGAAAUGCGUAGAUAUAUGGAGGAACACCGGUGGCGAAAGCGGCUCUCUGGCUUGUAACUGACGCUGAGGCUCGAAGGCGUGGGGAGCAAACAGGAUUAGAUACCCUGGUAGUCCACGCUGUAAACGAUGAGUGCUAGGUGUUAGACCCUUUCCGGGGUUUAGUGCCGUAGCUAACGCAUUAAGCACUCCGCCUGGGGAGUACGACCGCAAGGUUG